rnacentral:rRNA from 1 species
UACGUAGGUGGCAAGCGUUAUCCGGAUUCACUGGGUUUAAAGGGUGCGUAGGUGGGUUUGUAAGUCAGUGGUGAAAUCUCCAAGCUUAACUUGGAAACUGCCGUUGAUACUAUAAAUCUUGAAUGUUGUGGAGGUGAGCGGAAUAUGUCAUGUAGCGGUGAAAUGCUUAGAUAUGACAUAGAACACCAAUUGCGAAGGCAGCUCACUACACAAAGAUUGACACUGAGGCACGAAAGCGUGGGGAUCAAACAGG